ACGCUGGCGGCAGGCCUAACACAUGCAAGUCGAGCGGAAACGACAACAUUGACCCUUCGGGUGAUUUGUUGGGCGUCGAGCGGCGGACGGGUGAGUAAUGCCUGGGAAAUUGCCCUGAUGUGGGGGAUAACCAUUGGAAACGAUGGCUAAUACCGCAUAACGUCUACGGACCAAAGAGGGGGACCUUCGGGCCUCUCGCUUCAGGAUAUGCCCAGGUGGGAUUAGCUAGUUGGUGAGGUAAUGGCUCACCAAGGCGACGAUCCCUAGCUGGUCUGAGAGGAUGAUCAGCCACACUGGAACUGAGACACGGUCCAGACUCCUACGGGAGGCAGCAGUGGGGAAUAUUGCACAAUGGGCGCAAGCCUGAUGCAGCCAUGCCGCGUGUAUGAAGAAGGCCUUCGGGUUGUAAAGUACUUUCAGCAGUGAGGAAGGUUCAURCGUUAAUAGCGYAUGGAUUUGACGUUAGCUGCAGAAGAAGCACCGGCUAACUCCGUGCCAGCAGCCGCGGUAAUACGGAGGGUGCGAGCGUUAAUCGGAAUUACUGGGCGUAAAGCGCAUGCAGGUGGUUUGUUAAGUCAGAUGUGAAAGCCCGGGGCUCAACCUCGGAACCGCAUUUGAAACUGGCAGGCUAGAGUACUGUAGAGGGGGGUAGAAUUUCAGGUGUAGCGGUGAAAUGCGUAGAGAUCUGAAGGAAUACCAGUGGCGAAGGCGGCCCCCUGGACA
rnacentral:rRNA from 2 species